rnacentral:tRNA from 1 species
GAGGGUAUAACUGAAGUGGUAGAGUGCAUGCUUAGCAUGCACAAGGUUCUGGGUUCAAUCCCCAGUACCUCCU